rnacentral:rRNA from 1 species
UACGGGGGGGGCAAGCGUUGUUCGGAAUUACUGGGCGUAAAGGGUUCGUAGGUGGCCAACUAAGUCAGACGUGAAAUCCCUCAGCUUAACUGGGGAACUGCGUCUGAUACUGAUUGGCUUGAGUGCAGGAGAGGAACGCGGAAUUCCAGGUGUAGCGGUGAAAUGCGCAGAUAUCAGGAGGAACACCGGUGGCGAAGGCGGUUCUCUGGGCAUUACCUGACGCUGAGGAGCGAAAGUGUGGGGAGCGAACAGG